GACGAACGCUGGCGGCGUGCCUAAUACAUGCAAGUAGAACGCUGAAGGGGGAGCUUGCUUCUCCGGAUGAGUUGCGAACGGGUGAGUAACGCGUAGGUAACCUGCCUGGUAGCGGGGGAUAACUAUUGGAAACGAUAGCUAAUACCGCAUAAUAGUAGAUGUUGCAUGACAUUUGCUUAAAAGGUGCAAUUGCACCACUACCAGAUGGACCUGCGUUGUAUUAGCUAGUUGGUGGGGUAACGGCUCACCAAGGCGACGAUACAUAGCCGACCUGAGAGGGUGAUCGGCCACACUGGGACUGAGACACGGCCCAGACUCCUACGGGAGGCAGCAGUAGGGAAUCUUCGGCAAUGGACGGAAGUCUGACCGAGCAACGCCGCGUGAGUGAAGAAGGUUUUCGGAUCGUAAAGCUCUGUUGUAAGAGAAGAACGAGUGUGAGAGUGGAAAGUUCACACUGUGACGGUAUCUUACCAGAAAGGGACGGCUAACUACGUGCCAGCAGCCGCGGUAAUACGUAGGUCCCGAGCGUUGUCCGGAUUUAUUGGGCGUAAAGCGAGCGCAGGCGGUUAGAUAAGUCUGAAGUUAAAGGCUGUGGCUUAACCAUAGUACGCUUUGGAAACUGUUUAACUUGAGUGCAAGAGGGGAGAGCGGAAUUCCAUGUGUAGCGGUGAAAUGCGUAGAUAUAUGGAGGAACACCGGUGGCGAAAGCGGCUCUCUGGCUUGUAACUGACGCUGAGGCUCGAAAGCGUGGGGAGCAAACAGG
rnacentral:rRNA from 1 species